rnacentral:rRNA from 1 species
AUUGAACGCUGGCGGCAGGCCUAACACAUGCAAGUCGAGCGAGCGGCGGACGGGUGUGUAAUGUAUGGGGACUGCCCGCUAGAGGGGGAUAACUACUGGAAACGGUAGCUAAUACCGCAUACUAUCGGAUAAUCCAUAUGGGAUUAGCUAGUAGGUGGGGUAAUGGCCCACAUAGGCGACGAUCCCUAGCUCGUCUGAGAGGAUGAUCAGCGAAACUGGAACUGAGACACGGACCAGACGCCUACGGAGGCAGCAGUGGGGAAUAUUGCACAAUGGGCGCAAGCCUGAUGCAGCCAUGCCGCGUGUAUGAAGAAGGCCCUAGGGUUGUAAAGUACUUUCAGUCGGGAGGCGUUACCGACAGAAGAAGCACCGGCUAACUCCGUGCCAGCAGCCGCGGUAAUAC